AGCAGUAGCCACGGGAUCACGUAGGUGGCAAGCGUUGUCCGGAAUUAUUGGGCGUAAAGGGCUCGCAGGCGGUUUCUUAAGUCUGAUGUGAAAGCCCCCGGCUCAACCGGGGAGGGUCAUUGGAAACUGGGAAACUUGAGUGCAGAAGAGGAGAGUGGAAUUCCACGUAUAGCGGUGAAAUGCGUAGAGAUGUGGAGGAACACCAGUGGCGAAGGCGACUCUCUGGUCUGUAACUGACGCUGAGGAGCGAAAGCGUGGGGAGCGAACAGGAUUAGAUACCCCCGUAGUCCCUGUCUCUUAUAC
rnacentral:rRNA from 1 species